AGCUUGCCUUCCACUCCAAGCUGUCCUUGUGCCCAAAACAUACAUGUGACACUGACUGAGCCAUCGUCAUUUAACGUAUGGUUGAGAGGUUCACUCACUUUCAAACUACAAACUGAGUGAAGGAUCAGAGAAAAGCUGAGAGUGAGCAGAAGUGUGUCAGGCAUGUUAACGUAUCCUCGUCAGUUUGACAGUGUGAUGGUGGACGAGCCUCUUCACUUUGUUUUUACUGUAGUGAGAAAACACAGGAAGUAUGUGGGUGUCCCAGACAAGACACACGUCUGUCAGUGAGGAAAUGAGUGGGCAGCUUUCUUGAAAUAUGAAGUUGUUGAAAGGAAAAUGUUUGAUGCACAACCAUGUUAGGAAAAACCCAUAUCUUACUAAAUGAGCAAUAAAGUAAUCCUGAACCACUUA